rnacentral:rRNA from 1 species
AACAAACGCUGGCGGCGUGCCUAACACAUGCAAGUCGAACGAGAAAGUCGGUUUCGGCCGAUGAGUAAAGUGGCGCACGGGUGAGUAACGCGUGGAUAAUCUACCCUUUAGUCCGGAAUAACUUGCCGAAAGGUGAACUAAUACCGGAUGACAUCCCGGGUUCUCCGGAAACCGGGAUCAAAGAAGGCCUCUGCUUGCAAGCUUUUGCUGAAGGAUGAGUCCGCGUACCAUUAGCUAGUUGGUGGGGUAAUGGCCUACCAAGGUUAUGAUGGUUAGCUGGUCUGAGAGGAUGAUCAGCCACACUGGAACUGAAACACGGUCCAGACUCCUACGGGAGGCAGCAGUGAGGAAUAUUGCGCAAUGGGGGCAACCCUGACGCAGCAACGCCGCGUGAGUGAGGAAGGUUUUCGGAUUGUAAAGCUCUGUCGAGCGGAAAGAAAUGCACGAUGGCUAAUAUCCAUCAUGCUUGACGGUACCGCUAGAGGAAGCACCGGCUAACC